rnacentral:misc_RNA from 1 species
UAUCCUCCAUUUCUCGCGCGAAAGUAGUGCCACCAGUGGCGCUACAGCAAAAUAUACAUCUGUCCCUGUGUUAAAUGGUCUUCCCUCCACAUGCGUAUAAACGCAUACUCUGGUGAAUGCACGAAUUCGGAGGUUUCUGGACAAAGGGUGAGCAGAGAAGGGAGGUGUUACGCUUCGUCUGGUCCUCCGUGAGAUUGCACACCGUGACCAACAAACUACCACGGUUUACGGGAUAUAACUCGGGAGGAACGAGCUCGACAAGAGGGAAACGGAAAAUGCGGGAAAAUGGAGAUGGUCAGGAAAGAAUAGUGUAUGUGAGAACAGGGAAACGUACUGGUUCAAGAGGUACAUACAUAGUAUGUGUCACAAGUGCUGGUAUCUUGAAUUUUCAAAAUAAACAAUGUUUUCAACAGAAGAGACACUUGUUCAACCAAAUUGAAAACCACAAGAUUUCUACUAAAUUUACUAAGUAAAUUUUUACUAAAAAUUUGGUUAGAAUUGAUAACCUUAAAAAAUUUGCUUGGUAAAAAAUACAUGGAUAUACUCGCACAAAAUCACUAUUUUUAACGAGAAUAUAGAGAACUAGUAUACGUUUAGGAAACCACGAUUAUUAAACAUUCCAAUUAAAACGAAUCAAUAAGGUUAAUUAGUUCGCAUAAUUCUAGCUGAAUAUGGCGCGCUACGAAAUGCGUGCGUGGUUGGCUUUUCGUUUGUCAUAUAAUAGUGGAAAGUGGAAAUCCAAGGAUUUAUGCCCCAGAUGGACAUGUUGAUUGUAUCUUGUGGAAAUCCCACUUUCACUCUCAUCGAGUAACGUGUUCUAACUGGCUCUUCGAGUCUGGCCUGGAAUUGUUGAUCACCUUCGUCGGUCACUGGAAGUAAUAAGUAAAUACGUGCGGUAUUUCGUACACAAAGCGAAGGCAUUCCGCCUCCAGUACAAGUUUAAGGACUUUAUGUGGCAAAUUCCUCGCAUCUAGAGAUGUUUAGCCACGAUAAUCAUUAAACCGAGCAUGAAAUUGCAUAAUUUUCUGUGUACAUUACGAAAAUUACGAUUGGAAACGUAAUUGAAAAUGAUUGACGAAUAACAAAAAGUUUUAAUAAAAAAAAUCGGAUUUUAAUAAUUUAAAAAAAAUAUAUAUAUAAUUUGAAAAAAAGAGUAUUUAUAAUGAAUUGAUGCGAGAAAUGACUAGAAAUUAAGAUUUCCUCGCUUAUUGAUCGAUUUAUCUGAUCACAACUUAUUAUUCUACUCGUUUGACCAAACGAUUAGCAAUAUAAUCUACCAUUAGCCGAACUAAUGGUUGACCUAUACCUCUUGUCUGGCCCAGCAAAUGCUAUUUAUCUGAUCAAAUGAUCGAUAUAUUAUCGGCCCGACCAAAGGUUAACCUAUACUACUUGAUUGACCAAAUGAUUGAAGAUGCAAUAUUGGUUAAUAUCCAACUCUGAUUUAAAAAUAUAAAAGUAGCGAGAGUGGUUGACUUGUUCUAUUUAUUCGGUUAUGCAAUUAAGGAUAUGAAAUUGGUUUAGCAAAUAGUUGACCUGUACUACUUGGUAAGAAUACUUGUAUUUGCUUGAAAAUAGUACAGAAUGAAAUUCAAUACAAAAUUAUAUGAAAGAGAAUA